CUUCAACGAGCCGAGCCACAGCGGCCGUUCGGCAGUCCGCUGCCCGUAGGUGGCCAGGAUCGCCUGCGCCUC
rnacentral:antisense_RNA from 1 species